UUCACGAUAAAUCUCCCUACUGGAACGUACGUUUUCAGAUCUGAGGCGUCGGAUCGCCUUUCGUCGGCAAAAAACGCCGGCAAUUUGUUAUUUUCCGAUUCUAUGUCACCGGAAACGAGUGUUUCCGAAUCAAAUCAUGGAUGUUAAAUUCCUUCGAGCAAAUCGAUGAACCUGUAAAAUCUCAACAGUGAGAAACGAUGGACCUAGAAAAUUAAGAGUAGUCCAGCCCCUGGAGAAUUCCGCAGAGCUGGGCAUUUUGAAUUGAUUGAGUUGGAUCACUGGAGUGGGAGGAAAUCCAAUUACCAAUCAUAAACUCUACACAAAACGUUGUUGUGGUGGUUACUGCGCGUCUUCCUCUUAUUCAUAUGGUUUUGGCAAAACAUGCCUAAGGUAUGGUCCAUAUCAGCGAGUGUAUCAGUGACUUCGACUCGUCCUCAGCUCUAGCCAGUCUCCAGCACAUUAGGUUUCAGGGUGAGCUAUUCAUUCCAGCUCGUGUUGGAUUCUCUUGGUCAUGGCAUGAUGUCCUUAGUUUUCGGACAUAACCUAUUUUAUUCAUUUAUUUUGGUGUCUUUAAUACUCUUAGACUUAGUAUUUGAAGAUUUGAUGUUCUUGAUGUGAUGACUUUCAGAUUUUGGGGAUAAUAAGUGUUAGACUUUAGAGGUUUAUUUGAUAGGUUACUUUAAUAAGUUUU